GGAAUAUUGGACAAUGGGCGCAAGCCUGAUCCAGCCAUGCCGCGUGAGUGAUGAAGGCCUUAGGGUUGUAAAGCUCUUUUAUCCGGGACGAUAAUGACGGUACCGGAGGAAUAAGCCCCGGCUAACUUCGUGCCAGCAGCCGCGGUAAUACGAAGGGGGCUAGCGUUGCUCGGAAUCACUGGGCGUAAAGGGCGCGUAGGCGGCGUUUUAAGUCGGGGGUGAAAGCCUGUGGCUCAACCACAGAAUGGCCUUCGAUACUGGGACGCUUGAGUAUGGUAGAGGUCGGUGGAACUGCGAGUGUAGAGGUGAAAUUCGUAGAUAUUCGCAAGAACACCGGUGGCGAAGGCGGCCGACUGGACCAUCACUGACGCUGAGGCGCGAAAGCGUGGGGAGCAAACA
rnacentral:rRNA from 1 species